rnacentral:rRNA from 1 species
GACGAACGCUGGCGGCGUGCUUAACACAUGCAAGUCGAACGGAAAGGCCCUGCUUUUGUGGGGUGCUCGAGUGGCGAACGGGUGAGUAACACGUGAGUAACCUGCCCUUGACUUUGGGAUAACUUCAGGAAACUGGGGCUAAUACCGGAUAGGAGCUCCUGCUGCAUGGUGGGGGUUGGAAAGUUUCGGCGGUUGGGGAUGGACUCGCGGCUUAUCAGCUUGUUGGUGGGGUAGUGGCUUACCAAGGCUUUGACGGGUAGCCGGCCUGAGAGGGUGACCGGCCACAUUGGGACUGAGAUACGGCCCAGACUCCUACGGGAGGCAGCAGUGGGGAAUGUUGCACAAUGGGCGGAAGCCUGAUGCAGCAACGCCGCGUGCGGGAUGACGGCCUUCGGGUUGUAAACCGCUUUCGCCUGUGACGAAGCGUGAGUGACGGUAAUGGGUAAAGAAGCACCGGCUAACUACGUGCCAGCAGCCACGGUGAUACGUAGGGUGCGAGCGUUGUCCGGAUUUAUUGGGCGUAAAGGGCUCGUAGGUGGUUGAUCGCGUCGGAAGUGUAAUCUUGGGGCUUAACCCUGAGCGUGCUUUCGAUACGGGUUGACUUGAGGAAGGUAGGGGAGAAUGAAAUUCCUGGUGGAGCGGUGGAAUGCGCAGAUAUCAGGAGGAACACCAGUGGCGAAGGCGGUUCUCUGGGCCUUUCCUGACGCUGAGGAGCGAAAGCGUGGGGAGCGAACAGGCUUAGAUACCCUGGUAGUCCACGCUGUAAACGGUGGGUACUAGGUGUGGGGUCCAUUCCACGGGUUCCGUGCCGUAGCUAACGCUUUAAGUACCCCGCCUGGGGAGUACGGCCGCAAGGCUAAAACUCAAAGGAAUUGACGGGGCCCCGCACAAGCGGCGGAGCAUGCGGAUUAAUUCGAUGCAACGCGUAGAACCUUACCUGGGUUUGACAUGGAUCGGGAGUGCUCAGAGAUGGGUGUGCCUCUUUUGGGGUCGGUUCACAGGUGGUGCAUGGCUGUCGUCAGCUCGUGUCGUGAGAUGUUGGGUUAAGUCCCGCAACGAGCGCAACCCUUGUUCACUGUUGCCAGCACGUUAUGGUGGGGACUCAGUGGAGACCGCCGGGGUCAACUCGGAGGAAGGUGGGGAUGACGUCAAGUCAUCAUGCCCCUUAUGUCCAGGGCUUCACGCAUGCUACAAUGGCUGGUACAGAGAGUGGCGAGCCUGUGAGGGUGAGCGAAUCUCGGAAAGCCGGUCUCAGUUCGGAUUGGGGUCUGCAACUCGACCUCAUGAAGUCGGAGUCGCUAGUAAUCGCAGAUCAGCAACGCUGCGGUGAAUACGUUCCCGGG